ACUGUGAUUCUCAUAGUAACUGCGAGUGAAGUGAGAAGAGCCCAACGUUAAAAGCUAUAUCUCUAACGGGAUAUCGCAUUGUAACGUAUAGAUGUGUUCUCAAGGUGAAAGCUUACGUCAAAGUUACAUAGAGCGGUACGCCAAAGAGGGUGAGAGCCCCGUAUGAGACGUAAGCAUUAAUUUUGCCAAGUAAACACAAUCUAAGAGUCGUGUUGUUUGGGAUUGCAACACUAAGUAGGUGGUAAACUUCACCUAAGGCUAAAUACAUACACGAGACCGAUAGCAAACAAGUACCGUGAGGGAAAGUUGAAAAGUACUCUGAAAAGACUGUGAAAAGCACGUGAAACUGUUCAUGGGGAAGCAGACGGUAGAAUCGAAGCAUGCUGUUGAUUGCUCUGAUGUUGCGAGUUCAACUCGUACACAUUGGGGUAUCUCAAUAGUGUAGCGCGCUGAGCUUGUCGUGUUUUACGUCUUGCACGUAGUAAAUGUACGCCGAUGGUUUUAGUGCAGUAAUCGAGGUGUUGAAUGAUCAACAUCAGACUUUGCUGUAUAUUUCCACUCGCUAUAGGUACAUAACAUGGCAAUGGCCAAUAUGAAAGGCGAUCUGUGGAAGUGAUUGAGUGGUAUUUAUGCUGGUACGUUGUUAAACUACUUACGUGUAUUUACUGCUUGAUUGCCAAAUAGAUCUACUCUCAGCGAGAUAUGCUGCUGUCUGACCCGUCUUGAAACACGGACCAAGGAGGCUAACGUAUACGCGAGUCAAAGGG
rnacentral:rRNA from 1 species